AUUGAACGCUGGCGGCAGGCCUAACACAUGCAAGUCGCACGAGUGGCGGACGGGUGAGUAAUGUCUGGGAAACUGCCUGAUGGAGGGGGAUAACUACUGGAAACGGUAGCUCAUACCGCAUACCAUCGGAUGUGCCCAGAUGGGAUUAGCUAGUAGGUGGGGUAAAGGCUCACCUAGGCGACGAUCCAUCGCUGGUCUGAGAGGAUGAACAGCCACACUGGAACUGAGACACGUUCCAGACUCCGACGGGAGGCAGCAGUGGGGAAUAUUGCACAAUGGGCGCAAGCCUUCUGCAGCCCUGCCGAGUGUAUGAAGAAGGCCUUCGGGUUGUAAAGUACUUUCAGCGGGGCGGCGUUACCCGCAGAAGAAGCACCGGCUAACUCCGUGCCAGCAGCCGCGGUAAUAC
rnacentral:rRNA from 1 species